CACUUUUGUAUAAUUUUGUUUUUAAUAUUGUCCCUACGUUUUCCAUUAGAUGUUGUUGCAUGGACUUGGCGUCCACACCUGCUUUAGAUUCCAACCUCAGUUGAACAUGAUCCAUGCCAUGCUGGUUUCGGCUCUGGGGAAACAAGCUGAGACUUCCUUGGUUUCGGACUAUAUUUAGUGUUAGGAUUUCAGUGCCUGCUGGCCUAUUUUCUUCAAAAAGACAUCUGCUUCUGAGUAAAGUCAGGGAAGUCGCCCCUGGGGUUCCAGCCUGCUCUCAGCAACUUGGAGUCUCUUCAAAUGUGCAAGUAUUAAAAUUUCUGGCCCCUGGAAUUCACUCAUUAGUAAAAUUAGUUUGUGGCGUCCUUAAUUCUGGGUCAAGUGUGUACAGAGUGUAGUGGUGGAUGGAUGAUCCUCAUCAGUGGGGAAGGUUGAUGCAGGAGGCAGAUGAAACCACCACACUACAAAUAUUCUCCAGAAACGGACACCCGAGAAAGGGUCCCAAUUGAAAACAUUAGAUUCUGAAGGAUGGUCCUGAUCCAAAAUAUCAGCCGACUAAUCCUUCCACAGAUGCUGAAGAUAGACACAAACAGCUGGAGUAACUCAGCGGGACAGGCUGCAUCUCUGGAGAGAUGGAACGGGUGAUGCUUCGGAUUGAGAUCCUUCUUCUGAAGAAGGGUAUCGACCCAAAAAGUCUACUCUGCCAUUCAUUCAUGGCUGAUCUGUCUCUCACCCUCAACCCCAUUCUCCUGCCUUCUCCCCAUAACCCCUGACACCCAUACUAAUCAAGAAUCUAUCUAUCUCUGCCUUAAAAAUAUCGAUUGACGUGGCCUCCACAGCCGUCUGCAGCAAUGAAUUCCACAGAUUCACCACCGUCUGACUAAAUAAAUUCCUCCUCAUCACCUUCCUAAAGGACCAUCCUUUAAUUCUGAGAUAACUCGUGAAAGAGAUAACUCCUAGAGAGCAUGUUUGAUUAUAUUACUGAGAAAUAAUUGUAAGGGCCAAAGAUUCUGAACCUGGAUUCUCAACUGGCCCCUUCUCAAGAGACAAGGAACUGCAGGUGCUAGGAUACAAAAAAAGACACAGUGUGCUGGAGUAACUCAUUGGGUCAGGCAGCAUCUCUGGAGGACAUGGAUAGGUGACGUUUUAGAGAGUGCUGGAGUACAUCUAGGGGUCAGGCAGCAUCUCUGGAGAACAUAGACAUUUUGGGUUCGACUGAUUGUGAGGGUGGGUGGAGAGAAAGCUGAAAGAGAGGUGGGGGCAGGACAAAGUCUUCCUUCCUGGACCCUAUUAGGUAGAACUAGAUUAUGCAAGAGGAAUGGGAAGAUACAGUGCUGGAGUAGCUCAACAGGUCAGGCAGCAUCCCUGGAGACUGUGGAUAGGUGAUGUUUAGGGUUGGGACCCUUCUUCAGACUCCGACCUUAGUCCCGACGUGAAAAGUCACCUAUCCAUGUUCCCCAGAGUUCAAUGAGUUCAUGUGAUAGGAUUAGAUUCAGGCCCUUGUCCUACUUGCUAUGUUCGGUGUGAGGUGCAUGUCCAAUGGAGAAUGCAUGGGUGAAUUAUGGUGGAACUCCCAAACUCUUGAAUGUGCCUGAAACAACUCAUUCCAACAUUUUGUGUCUAUCUUCAGUGUAAACCAGUAUCUGCAUGUCCUUGCAACACAUAUAUCGUACAGUUUGGUGAGAUAGUCAAGUCUAUUGCGAUUCAAUGCACACAAAUAUAGCAUUUGACCUCACUUCUCAGCUUGUGAUUUCACAUUCCAACUUAACGCCUUCAUGGUCAGGUUAAGAACUCCAGCACUUUGUGUUUUUUGUCAUUUGUUUUGUAUAAUGGCAGUCUCUGUGUCAGCUCAAUGCCUGGUGACUGCGGUCGGAAACUGCCAGCCCAUGUCUCACUCAUAUGGAAUGUGGGCAUGAUGAUAAUCUCGGCCUCAGAAUGUGCAGCAUCUGACACGUUUACUGAUGGUUACUGCGAUGUACACUGAUCGCAUCUAGCACCCCAAACGAUACCACACAUCAACCAUUUUAUUUGCCAUGUGUAGGAAGCAACUGCAGAUGUUGGUUCAAGUUCAAGUGAGUUUAUUGUCAUGUGUCCCUGUAUAAGACAAUGAAAUUCUUGCUUUGCUUAAGCGCACAGAAAAUAAUAGGCAUUUACUACAAAACAAAUAAAUGUGUCCAUAUACCAUGAUAUAAAUAUAUACACACAUGAAUAAAUAAACUGGUAAAGUGCAAAUAACAGAAAGUGGUUAUUAAUAAUCAGAGUUUUGUCCGAGCCAGGUUUAAUAGCCCGAUGGCUGUGGGGAAGUAGCUAUUCCUGAACCUGGUUGUUGCAGUCUUCAGGCUCCAAGAUAGUCUUCAAGAUAGACUGGAAUAACUCAGCAGGACCGGCAGCAUCUCCGGAGAUAAGGAAUAGGUGACGUUUUGGGCCGAGACCCUUCUUCAGACCCUUUUUUUGCUGUUUGAAAAUUCUCCAGAUGACAAUGUCUCAUCUUCUCCAGGGUGGUUUGUGCUAUUUAAACUGGUGCCGAGAGUAGAGUGAAGUAUUGGUCAGGUUGAGAAUCAUCCCUGUUACCUGGUUAGAUAGCGGCAAUCUGCAAAGGAAUAGGUGACAUUUCGGGUCAAAGAUUUCAACAGUCUUUUAUUGUCACAAGUACCAGUUAGGGUACAGUGAUAUGCAAAUUACCAUGCAGCCAUACGAAAAGAAAAAGAAAAAGAAAAAAAAAAACGUUUAACCCUUUCCUGUCAGAUCGACAAGAACACUUCAAAUUCACGUCUGGUCUGCUG